rnacentral:rRNA from 1 species
GCGUCCCAGUUCGGACUGCAGUCUGCAACCCGACUGCACGAAGCCGGAAUCGCUAGUAAUCGCGGAUCAGAAUGCCGCGGUGAAUACGUUCCCGGGUCUUGUACACACCGCCCGUCACACCAUGGGAGCCGGAAAUGCCCGAAGCCAGUGACCCAACCUUAGGGAGGGAGCUGUCGAAGGUGGAGCCGGUAACUGGGGUGAAGUCGUAACAAGGUACC